rnacentral:rRNA from 1 species
CUUCUAAUCAAGGUUUCACUUUUGAAACCAUUUACGUUUACCCAAGAUAAAUAAAUGGUAAACACUUUUAUUGUUCAUUCAGUAUAAAUAAAUAGGUGAUAAACAUUGGUUUUUAUUUAGCUUUUAAUUGACUAUACAUUCGAAAUAGUAUUUUUUCUUAAAAAGAUAACUUUUUGUGUGUGUGCAUUACAUACUUAAAUUAUUGGAUAAAAUAGUUAAUAUGAGCAUGUACAAUAAAUAUUGCAUCUCAUGUCGGAGUUUUGUAUGUGCGUUUGAUUUGAAGUUUGAAACACAACUUAGAUCUAAAUUUAAAAAUUCAAAGUGUUAUCCGAAAUGAUUGGGCGUAAAGCGUCUGUAGGUGGCUUUUCAAGUACGCCGUCAAAUCCCAGGGCUCAACCCUGGACAGGCGGUGGAAACUACCAAGCUGGAGUACGGUAGGGGCAGAGGGAAUUUCCGGUGGAGCGGUGAAAUGCAUUGAGAUCGGAAAGAACACCAACAGCGAAAGCACUCUGCUGGGCCGACACUGACACUGAGAGAUGAAAGCUAGGGGAGCAAAUGGGAUUAGAGACCCUAGUAGUCCUAGCCGUAAACGAUGGAUACUAGGUGUUGUGUGACUCGACCCGUGUAGUGCUGUAGCUAACGCGUUAAGUAUCCCGCCUGGGGAGUACGUUCGCAAGAAUGAAACUCAAAGGAAUUGACGGGGGCCCGCACAAGCGGUGGAGCAUGUGGUUUAAUUCGAUGCAAAGCGAAGAACCUUACCAUGGCUUGACAUGCCGCGAAUCCUCUUGAAAGAGAGGGGUGCCCUCAGGAACGCGGACACAGGUGGUGCAUGGCUGUCGUCAUCUCGUGUCGUAAGGUGUUGGGUUAAGUCUCGCAACGAGCGCAACCCUCGUGUUUAGUUGCCACUAUGAGUUUGGAACCCUGAACAGACCGCCAGUGUUAUAGGAAUGAAAUAGAAAAUAAUGAAUAAAAAUAGAAAAGAAAAAGAAAGCAUUUCCCUAGCCCAAUUCCCUUUCCCUUAGCCGGCCAAGUUUCCUUACCCUUCACGCAGCCCAACUCUCAACUUCUCCCCCAUAGCCCGCACAUCCUUGAUCCACCGAUAGGCGGAGCCCCACUUUAGCUUCCCACCGU